AUUGAACGCUGGCGGCAUGCCUUACACAUGCAAGUCGAACGGUAACGGGCCUUCGGGUGCCGACGAGUGGCGAACGGGUGCGUAAUACAUCGGAACGUGCCCGAUCGUGGGGGAUAACGAGGCGAAAGCUUUGCUAAUACCGCAUACGAUCUACGGAUGAAAGCAGGGGACCGCAAGGCCUUGCGCGGACGGAGCGGCCGAUGGCAGAUUAGGUAGUUGGUGGGAUAAAAGCUUACCAAGCCGACGAUCUGUAGCUGGUCUGAGAGGAUGAUCAGCCACACUGGGACUGAGACACGGCCCAGACUCCUACGGGAGGCAGCAGUGGGGAAUUUUGGACAAUGGGCGCAAGCCUGAUCCAGCCAUGCCGCGUGCAGGAUGAGGGCCUUCGGGUUGUAAACUGCUUUUGUACGGAACGAAAAGCCUUCUUUUAAUACAGGAGGGUCAUGACGGUACCGUAAGAAUAAGCACCGGCUAACUACGUG
rnacentral:rRNA from 1 species